rnacentral:rRNA from 1 species
UAGGGUGCGAGCGUUAAUCGGAAUUACUGGGCGUAAAGCGAGCGCAGACGGUUAGUUAAGCAAGAUGUGAAAUCCCCGGGCUCAACCUGGGAACUGCGUUUUGAACUGGCUGGCUAGAGUGUGUCAGAGGGGGGUAGAAUUCCACGUGUAGCAGUGAAAUGCGUAGAGAUGUGGAGGAAUACCGAUGGCGAAGGCAGCCCCCUGGGAUAACACUGACGUUCAUGCUCGAAAGCGUGGGUAGCA